rnacentral:rRNA from 1 species
UACGUAGGGUGCAAGCGUUAAUCGGAAUUACUGGGCGUAAAGCGUGCGCAGGCGGUUUUGUAAGACAGAGGUGAAAUCCCCGGGCUUAACCUGGGAACUGCAUUUGUGACUGCAUAGCUAGAGUACGGUAGAGGGGGAUGGAAUUCCCGGUGUAGCGGUGAAAUGCGCAGAUAUCGGGAGGAACACCUAUGGCGAAGGCAGCUCGCUGGGACGUUACUGACGCUGAGACGCGAAAGCGUGGGGAGCAAACAGG